rnacentral:tRNA from 1 species
GGGGAUGUAGCUCAGGUGGGAGAGCACCUGCUUUGCAAGCAGGGGGUCAGCGGUUCGAUCCCGCUAGGCUCCACCA